AGCUCCAAUAGCGUAUAUUAAAGUUGCUGCAGUUAAAAAGCUCGUAGUUGCAUUUCCGAGGCAAGGGAUUAGUCCGACCUUUGGUGGGUAUUUAAUCCUCUUGCCUCGUCCUUGAGUGGUGCUUCUUGGUAUUAAGUUAUCGAGGAGAUAGCCGCUCAUCGUUUACUGUGAGAAAAUUAGAGUGUUCAAAGCAGGCUUAUGCCGUUGAAUAUAUUAGCAUGGAAUAAUAAGAUAGGACCUCGUUACUAUUUGGUUGGUUUGAGAACCAAGGUAAUGAUGAAUAGGGACAGUUGGGGGUAUUCGUAUUCAGUUGUCAGAGGUGAAAUUCUUAGAUUUACGGAAGACGAACUACUGCGAAAGCAUUUACCAAGGAUGUUUUCA
rnacentral:rRNA from 1 species